rnacentral:rRNA from 1 species
GACGAACGCUGGCGGCGUGCUUAACACAUGCAAGUCGAACGGAAAGGCCCUGCUUUUGUGGGGUGCUCGAGUGGCGAACGGGUGAGUAACACGUGAGUAACCUGCCCUUGACUUUGGGAUAACUUCAGGAAACUGGGGCUAAUACCGGAUAGGAGCUCCUGCUGCAUGGUGGGGGUUGGAAAGUUUCGGCGGUUGGGGAUGGACUCGCGGCUUAUCAGCUUGUUGGUGGGGUAGUGGCUUACCAAGGCUUUGACGGGUAGCCGGCCUGAGAGGGUGACCGGCCAAAUGGGGACUGAGAUACGGCACAGACUGCUACGGGAGGCAGCAGUGGGGAAUAUUGCAAAAUGGGCGGAAGCCUGAUGCAGCAACGCAGCGUGCGGGAUGACGGCCUUCGGGUUGUAAACCGCUUUCGCCUGUGACGAAGCGUGAGUGACGGUAAUGGGUAAAGAAGCACCGGCUAACUACGUG